rnacentral:tRNA from 1 species
GGGCGUAUCGUUCAACGGUUCAGGACGCUCGUCUCCAGAACGAGUCAUCGGGGUUCGAAUCCUCGUACGCCCGCCA